GCGGGUGUAGCUCAGUUGGUUAGAGCGCGGGCUUGUGGUGCCUGAGGUCGUGGGUUCGAUUCCCAUCACUCGCCCCA
rnacentral:tRNA from 1 species